UCAAGAUAUAGCUCAGUGGUAGAGCACUUGUCUUAUAUGUGCAAGGGCAUGGGUUUAAUCCCCAUGCUUCAA
rnacentral:tRNA from 1 species